GUCUUCUAAUGAUGAUUAUUAGUAACAUUUACUGAUAUUUAAUCAUGUUGAUAAAAAACUUUGGAGACCUGAACUGAAGAGUC